UGCAUACUAAUUCGUAUUGGUUAGUCUCAACUAGAGCAGGGCUUUUGAACCAAUGGGAACUUGUUAUCACUUAUGUAAAUUCUAUUGAUGCAAUGGUUUGCUUUAGCUGGUGCUAACAGUUUGUAUGCAGUACAUGCAAUUUAAAAGUGAUCGCUGUUUCAUAAUGUGGAAGGAUAGACACAGCAGAGGUGCCACCUGGGCUGCUCACCUCUCCUUGGCCUCACUUGUGGAUGAGAGCCAGCUGCUUGGCUCAGUUAAAGGCUUUGAAGGAGGGAGGAGUAAGAAGACCACAUAAAAGAAUGGAGACCAGAUGUGAGAGGAGGGAUUUGGAAGGCAGAAACUUCAUGACUGAAGAGGAUAUGCAACAGUCUGUUACCCAGGAAUUGUAUAAAAGCUCACCUGGAGCCUUGCCUGUCUCCAGAAUUGUGGGUAUAUAUUCAGAAGAGCCGUAAGCUGAGAUGGACUUACUGGAAACCAGAAGGUGAAGCCUUCUACUAAAAGGAAAACCAGGUGCAGGAUAGCGGGUGUAAGAUUGGAAGUUCAGCCUGACCCACAUCUCCCUAACUCCAUUUCAGGUUGAGCAUCCCUUGUCUGAAAUUAUCUGAAAACUGACCAGAAAUAUCUUGGAUUUUUUGGGAUUUUGGAAUAUAUGCAUAUACAGAAUGGAAGUAGG